GACGAACGCUGGCGGCGUGCCUAAUACAUGCAAGUCGAACGCAGUGGGGACGGGUGAGUAACACGUGGGUAACCUCCCAUCAGAGGGGAUAACACUUGGAAACAGGUGCUAAACCGAUACUGAUGGAUGGCCCCGCGGGCCAUUAGCUAGUUGGGGAGGUAACGGCGCACCAAGGCCACGACGCAUAGCCGACCUGAGAGGGUGAUCGGCCACACGGAGACUGAAAACCGGCCAAGACUACGACGGGAGGCAUGAGGAGGGAAGCGUCGGAAAGGGAGGAAAGUCAGACCGGGAACCGCCGCGGGAGUGAAGAAGGUUUUCGGAUCGUAAAACUCGGGUGUUAGAGAAGCGGUAUCUAACCAGAAAGCCACGGCUAACUACGUGCCAGCCGCCGCGGUAAUUG
rnacentral:rRNA from 1 species